UGCCCAGCAACUCCUAUUUCUACCUCCUCUUGGUACUGGUCGGGACACGAGUAGCUUUAGGGAAGAUCGGGUAACUAGCCCCGAUGGGAACUCUGGUUGUAUGCUGACAGGGAAGG
rnacentral:ribozyme from 1 species